rnacentral:ncRNA from 1 species
UUUUGUUUGGAAACAAAACUGGGGCUGGGUGAAGAUAUAGUCUAAUCAUAGCCAUCCAGAAUGCGCGCGGCAUAGGCACGCGCACGAAAGAUUGAACAGGCUAGUUCCGCCCAAGCGUCCAUAGCGACGGCGGAGUUCGGCACCUCGAUGUCGGCUCACCUUAGCGCGGGGGUGAAGAAGCUCCCAAGCGUUUGGCUGUUCGCCAAUUAAAAAGGUACGCGAGCUGGGUUCAAACCGUGCAGAACGUCAUUCCAAGGUCAGACCUUGGAAUGGUAGAUUGCACGGUUUGAACCCACGAGGAAAUGUUAGCUGCGUGGAGACGCAGUGUGCUUAACGACAAACUCACGGCGGUCACGUACAGGAAUGUACGUGUUAGCAAAUCAACUGAUAUCGGUGAAACCCAGCCCCAGUUUUGAAAUGCACAAAACUGGAGCUGGGCAACACCGAAGGAACCCGCCACACUGCAGAAGUGUGACGGGGCCUCUAGAGACUGAAUGUUGAUUGCCCCAAACAUUGAAAGAUGUGGGCAAAGUUACAGUCCGAUCCUCCAAGUAAUUGGAGUAAACGUAGAUGCGUGAGACAGGUUGGUCUCCUAUCUACUACAGGCGUUGAUUCUUGAGAGGGGUUGGCAAUAGUACGAGAGGACCUUGCUGAACUGACCUCUGGUCUACCAGCUGUCGUGCCAACGGCACCGCUGGGUAGCUAUGUCGGGUCGUGAUAACCGCUGAAAGCAUAUAAGCGGGAAACAUGCCUCAAGAUUAGGAAUCGUUAUGAGACUCGUAGGAGAUGACUACGUUGAUAGGCUCUAGGUGGAAGUGCCGCAAGGUAUGGAGCCGAGGAGUACUAAUAUGUCCA